GACAUCAAACUGAAAUACUUCGGUGCACAUCCCCGAGCUAAACAUAGGCCCUACAAUGGAUUAAAAAAAACCGAAAACAUGUUAUUUUACUCUUAAAAACCCCAAAAGCUACUAUGCCUCUAGCUUCUAUGAGUAAGUAUUCAUAUGUUACUCAUUAGUGCUUACUGUUUAGCAUCUAUCCAGAUUAUGCUAUGCAACUACUCUAAACCAGCGAUGAACUGAAGAUAUGAUAAGCACUAGUAUACCUACAACGUCUUCCUACAUAAUCAAGUCAAGGGAACAUAAAGUAACAUCAGAAACCCAUCAUUACCUGCAACACCUUCACGAAACCAUUGCUGCAUUUCACCACUGGCUGCUUUUGUUUUGAUUUGGUCUUUCAGAGUAUCAGCAAAACCCGAUGAUAAGGCUUUCUGUUUUUCAGCCUUGGUUCUAACGAGAUGCUUAGCCAUAUCCUCGAUCAUUCCCACGUCAGGUAGAGGCAGAGCAAGGGAAUGUUCUUUAGGAACCACCCCGUCAGCUUUCCUCUCAUUUGAUUCAGAAGCCAAGGCUCUCUCACUCGCCAAUAUAGAAUUAAUAAUCAAAUUCCCAUCAAUCUUCACAAGCUUAUCAUUCCUCGGAACAAAAAGCGAUGCAACCAAAGGCUCGCUACCAUUUCCAGGAGGUACAGAAUCUCUCUCGUUACUACGAGACGUAUCCAAAACUCUAUUCCUAUGCUGAUUAUAAACCUGGUCAGUAACAUAAUUAGACCUAUAGCUCCCAUAAAAGGCACCACCACUAAUCCCUCCGUAAUUAACAUUCACAACCGGAGCCAAC